UACAGAGGGGGCAAGCGUUGUUCGGAAUUACUGGGCGUAAAGGGCGCGUAGGCGGCCUUCUAAGUCGAACGUGAAAUCCCUGGGCUCAACCCAGGAACUGCGUCCGAUACUGGAAGGCUUGAAUCCGGGAGAGGGAUGCGGAAUUCCAGGUGUAGCGGUGAAAUGCGUAGAUAUCUGGAGGAACACCGGUGGCGAAGGCGGCAUCCUGGACCAACACUGACACUGAGGAGCGAAAGCCAGGGGAGCAAACGGG
rnacentral:rRNA from 1 species